GACGAACGCUGGCGGCGUGCUUAACACAUGCAAGUCGAACGGAAAGGCCCUGCUUUUGUGGGGUGCUCGAGUGGCGAACGUGUGAGUAACACGUGAGUAACCUGCCCUUGACUUUGGGAUAACUUCAGGAAACUGGGGCUAAUACCGGAUAGGAGCUCCUUCUGCAUGGUGGGGGUUGGAAAGUUUCGGCGGUUGGGGAUGGACUCGCGGCUUAUCAGCUUGUUGGUGGGGUAGUGGCUUACCAAGGCUUUGACGGGUAGCCGGCCUGAGAGGGUGACCGGCCACAUUGGGACUGAGAUACGGCCCAGACUCCUACGGGAGGCAGCAGUGGGGAAUAUUGCACAAUGGGCGGAAGCCUGAUGCAGCAACGCCGCGUGCGGGAUGACGGCCUUCGGGUUGUAAACCGCUUUCGCCUGUGACGAAGCGUGAGUGACGGUAAUGGGUAAAGAAGCACCGGCUAACUACGUG
rnacentral:rRNA from 1 species